ACCUACGGGACGCAGCAGUGGGGAAUAUUGCACAAUGGGCGAAAGCCUGAUGCAGCAACGCCGCGUGAAGGAAGACGGUUUUCGGAUUAUAAACUUCUAUCAAUAGGGAAGAAAGAAAUGACGGUACCUAAAUAAGAAGCCCCGGCUAACUACGUGCCAGCAGCCGCGGUAAUACGUAGGGGGCAAGCGUUAUCCGGAAUUACUGGGUGUAAAGGGAGCGUAGACGGUUAAGUAAGUCUGGAGUGAAAGGCCGGGGCUCAACCCCGGGACUGCUCUGGAAACUAUUUAACUUGAGUGCAGGAGAG
rnacentral:rRNA from 1 species